AUGCUGCCGCGCUCCCACUCGCACCCCGCGCGGCGGCGCUCCGGCCUCGGCCCGCAGCUCUGCGCCGUCGCCGCGGCGCUGCUCCUGCUCCUCUCCCUCGCCGUCCUCCACUCCCGCCUCUCCUCCUCCUCGCCCUUCCCGCUCUCCUCCUCGUCCCGCUCCUCCGCCACCGACUCCGCCGCCACCAACUCCACCGCUCUCCUCGCGGACGACGACGACGACCCUGUGGCCGCCGCGCUCGACCCCGACCUCACCCUCGCCGCCGUGACCACCGCUGCCGCCACCGAGGGCGCCGCGGCUACCAACCCCGACGACGACCGCAUCGACGAGCUCGACGUGCUCGACGAGGACGACUCCUCCGCCGUCACCGACGCGGCCGACGACGUGCCCGCCUCCGCCACCGCCGCGUCCUUCCUCUGGGACCACGCCGCCGGCGUCGCCCGCCUCCCCUUCCGCCUCCCCCCCGCUGGCGACUCCCCGCCCGUGGGGUUCCCCCACUUGGACUCCCCGCGUCGGAUCGCCGCCGCCUCCUUUGGAUCCGACGACGAGCCUGUGGAUCUGGAGCUGCGGGUGGAGAUCUCGUCCAUCAGCGGCAUUGAGGACGCGCUGCUCCUCAAGCCCGCCUCCGGCCGUAGCGAGACGCGGCUCCGCUCUGGUUGGGCGCGGUGGCUGGAGGGGAAGGCGGACUACCUCCGGCGCGAUCGGAUGCUCAGGUCCAACUUGGAGUUCCUCAAUCCUCGCAACCACCCUCUGCUCCAGGACCCGGACAGUCCUGGUCUCACUUCACUCACCCGUGGCGACCGCAUGGUGCAGCGGUUGCUCAUCUCAGAAAUUGAGAAAGACUCAUCCAAGAAUUUUGCCCGGCGGAGCCUCAAGUCGUCCGACAAUGAGCAUGGAAUAGGAGCCAUUCUGAAGGAGGAGCCGGAAGAAGUUAGGAGGUGGGGACACUUUCCAGGAAUUGAUCCACAUUUGGGGUUCUCAGAGUUCAUGGAAAGGUUCUUUGAGCAUGGCAAGUGCUCCCUGAGGGUGUUCAUGGUAUGGAACAGCCCUCAGUGGGCGUAUGGUGUUCGGCACCAGCGUGGGCUCGAGAGCUUGCUCCUGCAGCAUCCUGAUGCCUGUGUGGUCAUGCUGUCGGAGAUGCUGGAGCUGGAGGCCUUCCAUGAGUUUGUGAAGGAAGGACACAAGGUUGCAGUUGCAGUGCCGAAUCUUGAUGAACUUUUGGAGGGCACACCAACCCACAUUUUUGCAUCGGUGUGGUAUGAAUGGCGGAAAACAGUAAAUUACCCCUUGCAUUACAGUGAGCUAGUACGCCUUGCUGCUCUGUACAGAUAUGGUGGUAUAUACCUUGACUCUGAUAUUAUUGUACUCAAACCAUUGAAAUCCCUCCGAAAUUCUAUUGGUACUGUAAAAGAAGUUUCUAGAGGUUCCAGUUUCAGUGGUGCUGUAUUGGCAUUUGAAAAACAGAGCCCAUUCUUGCUCGAGUGCCUGAAGGAAUGGUAUUCAACAUAUGAUGAUACUCUCAUUCAGUGGAAUGGUGCUGAACUUAUGACAAGAGUAAUAAGAAAUCAUUCUGACAGUGAUCCAAAUAGGGAGCACCUUGAGAUACAGUUGGAACCCUCAUUUACAUUCUACCCCAUAAAUUCUACGGAUAUCAGUAGGUACUUCUCAGAACCAGACAGUACGGCUGAAAGAGCACAACAUGAUGCUCUGUUUUCCAGGAUUCUGAACUACUCUACCACUUUCCACUUCUGGAACAGCAUUACAUCUUCUCUGGUUCCUGAAUCCAACAGUCUUGUUGAGAGAAUUCUUAACCAUUACUGUCUCCAUUGCCUUGAUGUUCUAUAG
rnacentral:rRNA from 1 species